rnacentral:lncRNA from 1 species
CUUAUUUCCUAAAUUUAUAAAUAGCCAUUGGUAUACAAAAAACUGUCUUUGUUGAAUGUUUUUACACUUCACAAUCAAUUAUUAGUUAUUGGUAUUGAAAUUUAAUGUAUUAGAACCCCUCCUCAUUUCCCGACUUUUGCAGUAUGGUGAACAGAGAAUCCUUGCUUCUUAGCUAGCCAGUAGUAUCCGUCUCCAACAGUGCAUGGCUUGGCUUGGUAAAAACAUGAAUGCUGUAUGAAAUUACAAGGGAAUGAACUUUGUAAAAACUGUACCAACUUAUAACAACAAUGAAUCAAUAUUUCUUUCACAGGAAAUUAUAAUGGUCACACAUAUAUACAGAAAGAUGACAGGUGUAUCAUUUGCAAACUCUUUUCAAUUCAGAGAGUACACUGAACUAUAUUUUAAUAUUGAGAUCUAUCUAUAACUGCUGUAAAGUCAAAAACCUAGGAGACCGGGAGAGUAGAAAGAAACUAUACAUUGUGCAUGAGAUAAUCACCUGCAUUAAAAAUUUCUUGUCGUCAACAAGUUUCAUUGUUCCACAAUUUCGUGCUGCAAUCAAUAUACCUGCCACCACAUCUUCAAGGUAUAACACAUCCUGACUGGGAAGAGAUGGCUCGAAUGGAACUACACGGUGCCUGAAAAUAUAUUAGUGUUAUGCUUUGUAAGAAAUAUGAAUAAUUCUGGGAAGAAAAUAUGCAGUACAUAGUUUUUAAUGCCCUCUAUUUGAGUACAUACUCACAAAUUCACAAUAAAGAAAAUAAAGAAGUAUUUGCUGAGAAACAUAGAUGAUGGAGAUUGGAGAAUGCCAUUUAUCCCAGCACAAGCUUUUUUUUACUGGCCAUGCUGAGUUGUAAUCUAGCAACUUCAAACCUUAAUCUCAACACAAUUCCACUUUCAACAAGAAGAAUCACUCUUUCCUACUCAACCUAUCGACUUCCAACUCUUUCUUCGUUUUAUUCUGAUAAGAAAAAAUAAAAAUCAAUUUCGACUUGGUUUAACUUUUUAGUUGAGUCUACACCAAUUUUUUUUUGGGAGACUUUGCUUUAGGAGCCGUGUUGGUAAAUUUUGUUGGCUCGUUUGCAUAUAUAUGGUGGGGUUUUGUACUUUGUUUCUCUUUGGUAUAACCUUUAAAAUGACCCCAGCACAUGUUAAGUGUAUAAAUUCUGUAAAUUCCACGUACCCUGACGUCUAAUGUGAGAAAUGUCAAUUAUUAUACACUGCACAAAAUCUAACAAAGGUGCAAAAGCACUCAUAUAUUUUACUCUAUCUUACAUGUAAAAUGAGAGGAAAUUAGUGCAGCCACAAUCUUCAGACCCUGUCAAUAUUGUUAGACAUUCGUAUGUUGUUUGCCUUUCAAGAAAAUCCUUACAGGCUCAGAUCCAUUCUUCCUUGAUACCCUCAUAUAACCAUCCAUCCAUGCCACAGGAGAGGAAGGAAACAGCACAAACUAAAAACUUCCCUCAAAUGCAACUACUGAACUACUACUCCCUCUGUCUCAAUUUAAGUGAGCUUGUUUGACCUGCAGUUUUAGGAGUGAUUACUUUUUUUCUUCAACCAUUGGCUACAGGGAUUACAAUUAUUGAAUAGAGAGAUG